rnacentral:rRNA from 1 species
AGAGUUUGAUCAUGGCUCAGGAUGAACGCUAGCGGCNGGCCUAAUACAUGCAAGUCGAGGGGCAGCACGGUAGCAAUACUGGUGGCGACCGGCGCACGGGUGCGUAACACGUAUACAAUCUGCCUUUAACUGGGGCAUAACCUUUCGAAAGAGAGACUAAUACCCCAUAAUAGUAGAGAAGGCAUCUUCUUUAUUUGAAAGCUCCGGCGGUUAAAGAUGAGUAUGCGGAUGAUUAGCUAGAUGGUGAGGUAACGGCUCACCAUGGCGACGAUCAAUAGGGGAUCUGAGAGGACUACCCCCCACACUGGUACUGAGACACGGACCAGACUCCUACGGGAGGCAGCAGUAAGGAAUAUUGGACAAUGCUCGCAAGAGUGAUCCAGCCAUGCCGCGUGCAGGAAGACGGCCCUAUGGGUUGUAAACUGCUUUUGAACUAGAGAAAACCCCCCUUCGUGAAGGGGGCUGAUAGUAUAGUUAGAAUAAGCAUCGGCUAACUUCGUGCCAGCAGCCGCGGUAAGACGAAGGAUGCAAGCGUUAUCCGGAUUCAUUGGGUUUAAAGGGAGCGUAGGUGGAUUUGUAAGUCAGUGGUGAAAGCCGGCAGCUUAACUGUCGAACUGCCAUUGAUACUGCGGAUCUUGAGUAUGGUUGCUGUGGGCGGAAUAUGACAUGUAGAGGUGAAAUUCAUAGAGAUGUCAUAGAACACCGAUUGCGAAGGCAGCUCACAAAGCCAUUACUGACACUGAGGCUCGAAAGUGCGGGGAUCAAACAGGAUUAGAUACCCCGGUAGU